AGUAACACGUGAGUGACCUGCCUUUUAGACUGGAACAACUUACCGAAAGGCGAGCUAAUGCCGGAUGAGUUAUAUAAGUGCAUGUUUAUAUAGGAAAAGUUGGGGAGACCUGACGCUGAAAGAUGGACUCGCGUCCCAUUAGCUAGUUGGUAGGGUAAUGGCCUACCAAGGCGACGAUGGGUAGCCGGCCUGAGAGGGUGGCCGGCCACACUGGGACUGAGACACGGCCCAGACUCCUACGGAAGGCAGCAG
rnacentral:rRNA from 1 species